GGAGGGUGCAAGCGUUAAUCGGAAUUACUGGGCGUAAAGCGCACGCAGGCGGUUGGAUAAGUUAGAUGUGAAAGCCCCGGGCUCAACCUGGGAAUUGCAUUUAAAACUGUCCAGCUAGAGUCUUGUAGAGGGGGGUAGAAUUCCAGGUGUAGCGGUGAAAUGCGUAGAGAUCUGGAGGAAUACCGGUGGCGAAGGCGGCCCCCUGGACAAAGACUGACGCUCAGGUGCGAAAGCGUGGGGAGCAAACAGGAUUAGAUACCCUGGUAGUCCACGCCGUAAACGAUGUCGAUUUGGAGGCUGUGUCCUUGAGACGUGGCUUCCGGAGCUAACGCGUUAAAUCGACCGCCUGGGGAGUACGGCCGCAAGGUUG
rnacentral:rRNA from 1 species